rnacentral:rRNA from 1 species
GAUGAACGCUGGCGGCGUGCCUAAUACAUGCAAGUCGAGCGAACAGACGAGGAGCUUGCUCCUCUGACGUUAGCGGCGGACGGGUGAGUAACACGUGGAUAACCUACCUAUAAGACUGGGAUAACUUCGGGAAACCGGAGCUAAUACCGGAUAAUAUAUUGAACCGCAUGGUUCAAUAGUGAAAGACGGUUUUGCUGUCACUUAUAGAUGGAUCCGCGCCGCAUUAGCUAGUUGGUAAGGUAACGGCUUACCAAGGCAACGAUGCGUAGCCGACCUGAGAGGGGGGCGGCCCACAUGGAGAGUGAACCGCGGCCCGCCCCCCGAGGGGGGGGAGCGGAGGGGAUUCUUAGGAAGUGGGAAAGAGCUUGAGGGAACACCGCCGGGGGAGAAAAGAGGUUUUUGGAACUGAAAACCUUUUUAAUGGGGAAAAAAAAAAUGUAAAAUAAACUAGCCCCUUUUUGACGGUACUAAAUCAAAAAACCCGGACUAACUCCGUG